rnacentral:snoRNA from 1 species
GUGCAAGUGAUGCAAACUUUUACUAUAGCUGAAUGUAUGUGAUGCAUUCAUCAAAGGAACCACUGAUGCCA